rnacentral:lncRNA from 1 species
UUUUUUUUUUUUUUUCUUUUUAGGGCCACACCUGAGGCAAAUGGAAGUUUCCAGACUCGGGGUCGAAUCGGAGUUGCAACUGCCAGCUUACUCCACAGCCACAGCAAUGCCAGAUCUGAGCUGUGUCUGUGACCUACACCACAGCUCAAGGCAACACCGGAUCUUUAACCCACUGAGUGAGGCCAGGGAUCCAACCUGCAUCCUCAUGGAUACUAGUUGGGUUCUUAACCCACUGAAUCACAACGGGAACUCCCUUACUUCUUUAUUUUACCUCACUGGUGGAGACCUGGGUACUCACUAGGCCAUUCAUCCACUCAACAAAUAUUCCCGACCACCUCACUGGGUUCAGAGUUGGAAAUACAGGACAAAUACCCAGGUCUCUACCCUGAAGGAGUUAAUUGUUCGGUGGGGAUUCACUGAACACAGGUAGGUACUGCAGGAACACAGAGAGGGAGGCACUUCCCCUACCUGAGAGGCAGAAAGGGAUUCAGGAAAAUCUCCCCAGAAGAGGGGAUGGUGGAGCUCAGUCGAGGGGUUAGCCUACCCAGGAAUUGGGAAAGGGGCCCGGAGAGGAGGGAACCAUCUGCCGAAAGGCCCAGGCUUGGAGAAAGCAGAGUGGGUGAGGAAGAGGUGUGGAGCCGUGGGUGUGAGAACUAGGCUGGGGAGGUAAACAGAGGCACACCCCCCCCACGGUGGUGUGGGCCACUUCCUGCAGAGGAGAUGAGCCCCAGGGGCCAUGGCUCUGUCAAAGCUGCACCCACCUCAGAGCUUGCACUUAGGAGGCCAGAGCUUCUCGGUGUGGAUGGCCCACUUCCACAUACCUGAGACCACUACAGUGAAAUCGCAAAGUUCUCCCUGGUUCUUAGCAGUGGGCGUCUGGGGCAGGGCACACUGCUGUGUCUGCAGGGGGAUGCCAGCUGCAUUUAGUGCAGGAAGUAAGGGGCUACCAUGUGGGCCUGGAGGACAGUGAGGGGAGGGGAGGUAACACUGCAGAAUCUGGGCAGGGGGCUCCCACGUCCGAGGGGCUGUGGCACCUCGGUAUGACAGCCCAGGGGCUGACUUACUGCUGCUUCCUAUUACCAAGAUUUUAAAAUGACACCCCACUCCCAAACACCUGGGGAACUGCACUGCGUGCACGACAUCCUGCUGUCCCCACUCAGGCGAGCUCUCUUUGUCUACUGGGGAUUGGGGGAGAGGAGGGCAUGGCUGGAAAUGUUGUUUGCUUUUGAGUUUAGUCUGCUUUGACCUGUUGGGACAGCACCACAGUUCCCCUGAAUCCAGGUGGAAAAGGAACGGUCAGGAUGAGGCCCCUGGGGAGGUACUGAGUGCAGACAACAGCUUAUCCUGCUGUCCAGUAACUGGUCAUCAGGCUGACUGUCUGUCUCAGGGGCAGGGUCUUCAUGAUCCCCCAGAGCAUGGCUUGAUUGGGCUGCUAGCCGCAGACCACAGCACCGUGACAGGCACCCGCGGAGAGGGAUCCCAGCCCCUUGGGGCUCCUCCUCCUGAUCUCGUACUCCUCCCUUCCACUAGCCACCUGGAGGACCCAGAUUCAGUGCUUCUUUCACAGCCUCCUCUUUCAGCCCCUCUCGUUUCCACUCUCUCUUCCACCCCACGACUCUCCUCAACCCUUUCUCCUCUGCUGCCAGCUCCAGGGGCUUCGGUCUUCCCAGUGAAGGAGGCGCUAAGCACUCCAUGCCCCCUGAUAGAAAGCUGGUGCUCUGUCCUCCAGAAUUCGGGCCAGCACCUCAUUGUGGGCAUCCUGAGGGCACCCUUCACCUGUGCACCUUUCACAUAUGACACGAUGUAAAGGGGGCCCUUGGGAGUCACCCGGAUUUCAACACGGAACUCAAAGCCUUCAGAGUAGCAAGUCUUUUAAGAGGAAAAUGUUGGCCCCUGGAGAAGACUAGGUUCUUGACUGGACACUGGAGCCUGUGAACAGCAUCCCCAUUACUGAGCUCCAGGACCUUCCCUGCUCCAGCCUCCCACCCGCUGCCCCCGUGGGACCACACCUGCGGCAGGUUAAUGAUCUGGGCAUGCCAGGUGUCGUCCUUGCUCCUGUUCGACGACGGAUGCUCAGCCUCCCAUUCUGCUGGGGAGCCUCCCCUGUGCAGCCAGCUCAGGGGCAUCGCUCCUCUCCUUCCCAAAUUCCUUUAGAGUCUGUUGCCCUCGUCCAGCACUUUACAGCACAUGACAUCAAACCACCGCCCAACAACAGUGCUUUGGUUGGGACUGGAAUGAAAUGCUGGCUUCUCAUCCUUAGCCGGCUCUGCGUGACCCCUCCGGGCCUGGUUCUGUGACUAGCUUCCUCCUCUCCUGCCCUCCUCUGGCCCCUUUGGCCCCCCGCCUGUGCUCAACUCACUACUUUCACGUCCACCUCCCAGCCCUGCACCUGCUGUUCCCUCUGCUUGGAGGACGCAACCCCAGAUACCCAGGGCAACCAGAACGUCAAUCUACCUGAGAAGGAGCUUCCUCCCCAUCAGAGUCCAAGUGCCUGGCACAUGGCAGCAGCCGGGUGACAGCGCUUGAUGGAAAGCAUUAAUAACACACUGCUUAAGUGCCUGCCCCUCCCCCACCUUGUCAUAAGUGUCCUGAGGACAGAGAUCUGGUCCGGGCGAUGUAUCUCCUCCACAGUGUCCAGCCCACAUGUUCCAGCAGAGGUGCUUUCAUCAAUGUUUGUUGACAGAGUGAAGACAGAACAGGAGAGAGACCUCUCAUGCUUUUCCUGCCAGGUGGGCUCAGCAGCCUCUGUGGCAGAAAGGGUAACCCUUGUCCUCCUGGCUCUCCUUCUGCCUGGCUGCCAGCCCUGCCCCUGGAGUGCUGCUCCCAUGGCUAAAGAGCUGUUUUCCACUCAGAUUCCUUUCCCACUGCUGCCAACAUCACUUUCUGAACUGGUCGGACUCAGAGAGGGUGUGUGACCGCCUAGGGCUGCAGCCCCCAUCAGCACACAUCCAACCUCAGGGUGAGAACAGGGCUCUGUUGAGCUACAUGCUUGAUUUCAGGGUGAGAGCUUCCAGAAAGAUUUAUUAGAGACCAUGACUGUGGCUGCUGUAUUUCAAAGCCCAGGCAGACGUUUAGGUGACAGAGUUAAAUGUUCCAAACUUACCUCAUCCUCCCUCCCUCUCUGCAGGGUGAACGCUGGGUUCCUCUCCCCAAGCCCAGUCCUUCUCCAUAUUUGGGAAUCUGGACUGUGCACGGGGAGCACAGCCGUCCCCUCCCGGUGUCUGCUGGGAGCUGUAGUUCCUGAGCGGUGGCCAGCAAGGGGGCUGUCCUUUCUCAGGAGGACGUGUGGAAGCAGUGGGUGGGAGGCGCGCCUUCUAUUUUUGAGUCUCUGGGGGCUGGCUCUGAGCACAGUAGCACCCACCUGCAAAUGGGGAGCAUUAUCUCUCUUUUCCUACCUGCCAGAUUGUUUACUGGGUGGGGUAAUUAGCCAGCACUCAGUAAAUGCUUUGAGCUCGGUCCAGCAAGGAGUGCUUUAUAAAUAAAAAUUGUUAUCUUUAAAGAGGAAAAUAUUAAUUUUGAUCACCUAAUUGCCUUCACAAACCAACCCUUUGCCUACACGCCAGAAAAGAUGCUGCGUUUAAUUCCUGGUAUGUGCCUUUCACCCACCCUGCAUUUAAGUGGUUCCUCUGCAUCUCAUUCCAUUUUGUUUCAUCAUCUCUAGUUUCAUACCCCCAAGAAUAAAGGCACUCUCUCCCUCCUCUCUGAAAGGAAUGGAUGAGACAGACCAAUUCUGCCCUGUCCCCAAAGUACAAGAAAGUUACAAGAAGGGAUAGUUUGGGUCUGCUUUGAGCUCCACGACUUGCGCCUGGUGUGGCCACGAGCUCACUCUCUGCCGACCUUUGCUCCCUUUGAAGAAGGGAUAGGGUUUCAGAGCAGCAGGAAAGAUCUUAGUAAGAACCCUCUUCUCUAGAGAGAAGAGCUCUGUAAGAGGAAAGGGACAGGUGCCUGGUGGUGGGAGCAGCGGCUCAGAAUCAAAUGGUUAGAAUCCUGGCUCUAGAUCUUUGGGCAAAUCACUCACCCUCUGACCUUGGUCUCCUCAUCUCUGAAGUGGAGAUGACAAAAUGGUCAGAGUUUUGUCAGGUGCCUCACCAGGGGCUGUGAGGUCAGGCACUUCUAGACCAGAAUCCCUCCAGGGUUUGCAGUGGACGUGUGAUCAAGUCUACUUGGCUUCUCUGAACUGCAGGCAUAUUCUCUCUAGGGUGGGGAAGGUGAGGCUACGAGAGCAGGCAGUGGUCCUGGCGCUGCUGCUUCUCAGUAAACGUGGCUGUCAGGGCCUUUGUAUGUGCCAUGGCGACUCUCAGUGCGCUAGCAUCACACUGUGACUGCUUGUCUCACUUUUCAUCAUCUCGCUCUGUGACAACUACAAUGAUGUAGAGGCGCUUUCUAGGCUGUAAAGUACGACAGUUUGUACCCUAACUAUGAGGGGUGAUUAGAACUGAGCACAGAGAGAAGAGAACUGCACACCCUGCCACCCCACCCCCAACCCUGACCCCGAACCCAGAGGUCUCCUCCAGGACUCAGGUUACGUGGGAUCAAGGAGGUCAACUGCUUUUUACUGCAAAGAGCUAGAAACAUGCAGGUUGUCAGUAGUAAGAGCAGGAUGACUUAGUCCUGUGUUGUAGAUGUGACACACCGUACUUGGGUCACAGGCCAUGCAAACAUGCCUCACUACCCACGCAUGCUGGUUUCUGAGGGAGGGCAGUGCUCAAGAGGGCAGAGUGUCAUUUACAGAUGGUGGGACCUCAGGUGAUUCUUACUCUCUUGUACUUUUUGGUCUUGUUUGAAUUAUUUUUACUCUGGGUAUGAAUCAUUGUAACUAAAACAGGAGCAGACACUAAACAAUCAGAUCAGGUUUUGUAAAACACCAGGAGAACGUUUUUGGAGGCACGGAAAAUGGAAAAUCAUAAUGACAGAGGCCUGUGCAGGGAAGUCAGAGGGGAAUGGAGUCCUCCGAGACAGCCCUAGAGAGAGAAGAAGCGACGCUUUCAUCUAUUUCCCCACUGGGCUGUGACUGCAUGGUGGCUUCCACCAUCGCCAGGGUACACUGAGGUUCCAGGUUUGCUGUGGUGACACAUGGUUCCUACGUUUCCACCUCUCUUCUCUUGGGUCCCUCGGACGGGCUGUCAGAGAGGGGAACAUGGACUUACCCCUCAUUUCUGCUCCCCAGGUCACUGCCUUUUGCCAUGAGGGCUUCAGGGAAGGGUGUGGUGUGCUUACCUGUCAUCUCCUCCCACUGUCCCACUACAGUUCUGGACCAGAUGCACAAAGAACAAACUUUUGGAGUUCCCAUUGUGGCUCAGUGGAUUAAGAACCUGACGAGUAUCCAUGAGGCUGCAGGUUCAAUCCCUGGCCUCACUCAGUGGGUUAAGGAUCCGGCAUUGCCGUGAGCUGUGGUGUAGGUCUCAAACGCAGCUCGGAUCUCAUGUCACUGCGGCUGUGACACAGGCCAGUAUCUACAGCUCCACUUUGACUCCUAGCCUUGGACCUUCCAUAUGCCUUGGGUGCAGCCCUAAAAAGACGAAAAAAAAAAAAAAAAAAAAAGAACAAACUCACUUCCCAGUGGGAUGCAGAAUAGGAGGGUGAUGAUGGCAGACCUCACCUUCCUCCAUCCCUUUCUCCCAGAGAAUGCCUGCAGGAGGGUCUGCACCAGCUCCCAGGCAGCCUGUCCCCAGUGAGGACAGGAGACUGGGACCGGGGGUGGGGGGCAGACUCUCUCCUGUGGCCACAGACACCUACACUGUCCCCAGGAAGACUUCAUGCCCAAGCCCACGAUAACACGACCCAGAAAGAGGGCUGGCACGCCGGGCCCUGUAGGUGAUGGAACCUCACAACACAGCCCAGAACGUGGCUUCGGGAGCUUUGUAAUCCUUCCUGUGCAGAAUGAUCUGCAGGGAAAGAAGCCUUUACAAAAACAGCAGAUUGGAUCUGGGACAAGCAGUCCUUAACAAGUUUCGCAAUGAAUUGAAUUGUCAUGGGUUGAAAUACAGGCUCAGACACCUGCUUUCUUCACUUGACCAGCUUUUUAGUGGUCUGUCUGGUGUCAUUCUUACUCUGGCCCAGAAGCAGGUGCUGGGUGGGGUCAGGUUAUCUAUGGAGAUUGGUACUGGGCUCAGGGCGGGGAUACAAGGUGCACUUGAGGUCACAGCCUGAGAAAAAUAAUUAAAACAAAUGCAAAGGUGAACUGCAAUUACUCUGGUUUACUUUAUAGUUAUGACUUUAUUUCUUUUAGGCCCUGGAUCCAUGGGACAGUGCUGGGCAAAUGUUUGUUUUACUUACUACAGUCAGCUGAGUAAGAAAUCCAAUUUUAGGACUGACCGAGGCUGCCAGGACUGGUAGGGAUGACAGCCACCCUUUCACUUCUUUGAAGUCCUUACCAUCCCUCUCCUUUCCACCACUCUCACCUGAGAUGUGAAGUGAAGAUUUCCGAAAAUCUUCCCUACAUUUCUCCUCCCCUCCCACUACCCAAAUACCUUGAUCUGGGCUUACUGACCCAAAAUUCCAUUUCAGUAAAUAACUUGGGACAUAAAGAUUGUCAGUGGUUUCUGGCCUUUUAAAUAUAAAUGUCCACUUUUAAUUUCCCCUCCCUCAAUCCUGCUUUGCGAUGUUUCUCUAGUAAAUAAAAUCAUUAAUCAAUAACAAUCGUGGCACUGUGUUGAGAGUCCCUCCAUCAGUUCCCCAAAGGGCCCGUGAGGGAAAACCACAGGUUUUGGGAACCAGAGCUGCUCUCGAGGGAGCAAGGCCCGUGCUCUUUCCAGCCAGGAUCUGUGCACAAACAGUAAUCUCAGAUGCUGUGACUUACCCCAAAGCGUGAUGAAUGGUGGGAUGUCUGGGCUGCUGAUGAAACAUCUGAAGCCAAGGUGAGGUCCUCUCUGGGAUGGCACUGGGCGGGCAGGGGGUGC